ensembl:lncRNA
ACCUAAGACAGCCUUCAACAGGAAGACUUUUAGCAUUUGACAAGUCCUAAUUAGGUUUGUCAAAAUUGAAAAGUGGUGCAGGCCAGCGGGCACUGUCUCUUGCUGGCCAGUGGGCCUCAGAGUUGGGCUAUGAAAGGGGCGGCUUCUCUGCUCACUCCUCAUCUGAGAGCCCUGCUGGGGUCUGGAGAAAUCAAAGGUGCCCCCUCAGUGACAGACACCUUGCAGCAAAGCCUCUAGCUCUGCUCCUUGGGUUCAAGGACAAAGCUGUGGGAAAGGGAAACAGGAGGGAGCCAAGGCUGAAAGACUAAAAGUCCUGGCGGUUACCUGAGGGAGAUAGCACUCUGGGGUCUAGCCCCCUCUUCUCAGCCCACCUGCACUUUUCUGAAGCAAGCUGAGAGCCCACCUCCUUUUCCUCUGCCUGGAAAGUUCUUUCACCAGGGCCUGGGUGAGUUGGAGCCAACCAUCAGCACAACCCCUUCCACGUAGCACCAGCUGAAGGUUCUCAAGGACGGCAGAGUUUCUCACUGGCCUGCAGAGGACCUGGAGCCAAGGUAGAGGGGAGUGGACGCCCAUCUCCUGUCAAUUCUGAGCCUAGGUCCCCUCCUUCCCUCUCCAUCCUCAGCCUCAUCCUGCCCGCUGCAGCCAACCAAGAAUGAGUCCACGCGGGGCCCCUUCCGAGGUCACUGAGCUCAGAAGCACGAAGAGCACCAAUACCCUCAAUGAGUGGCUGCCCGACUGCGCUGCACCCGGAGGGGCUGUCUGAGUGACAGAAACGGAAGGUCAUCUCCCUGCAGAGGAUUCCAGUCCCUGCAAGGACGAGAGAUCUGCCUACCCGCGGAGCGAACUCAGAAGGCCGGGCCGACGUUCACCGGAAGGAGCUCCGCAGCCUGCAAGAGUCCCGCCUGGCUAGAGCGUCUGGGAUCAUCGAGGCCGCCUCCGUGCGGAGAAAAUAACACCCCCGUCCUCCCUGGGUGCCCUGAACAGACUUUCCCCCGCUCCUCCCAGAGCUGGGGAUCAAUUCUGCUCUUCGUUUUCCGCUUGCUAUGAGCAUCCCCUCGGGCUACGUUAUGACUCUCCGUGCCUCAAUUUCCUCCUUUAGGCAAAUCUGAGCUGUGUACUUUGGAGCCAGCGUUUUCCGCACCAGCGCCGCCGAAGUUCCCGCGUCUCGAUCAGCUCCUCGCAGAGCACUCUUGUCUGGCAACUUGUGAUUCCUGAAAUCUGGGUUUCUUGGUCCACCUGGGAAAGACAAGGAGGUGGUGGGUUGAACACUGAGUCCCUGCUGCCCCUCGGUCCGGCUGGGCGACAGCGAUCACGCGGCCACCGUGCUCAACCCACAGCUGCAGCCGCGGUGGCGCCGUGGUAGGCCCAGGCUUGGAGCUCGCAUUUCCUGGGCCGACAUAGCUUAACGGGGUGGCCACCAACUCCGGGGCCUCAGCACCCAAGCCAGAGGGCACAAAGGUCCAUGGGUCAGAUCUGAGAGGCUGGGAAAGCGCCCGUGUCACAAGCAAUGUGAGUUCCGCGCUGCCGAGAACCGGGACUGCGAACUUUUCGCCGGCCUCUGAGUGCAGCUCGAAAAAUUCCGAGCCGUACAGACCGCCAGGACGUCAGGGCCAGGUCACCAAGUACACCAAGGGCUCGGUUCGGGUUCACAAGGACAGGUGACCAGACCCUUGAUUUUUCCACCUGCAACUAAGAACUUUAACCACUGGCCCUGAAUCUCAAUGUGCGCGGGUUGUUUAAACGCUGAAAUUCACCGCUUCCACUUCCGAGGAGCCGGCGGCCCAGAACGAUUCUUGGACACGCAAACUGGAAGACGAGAAACGUCCCUUCCAUCCAGAAUGAAAAGGGUCCCAGAUUCAAAGAGGCAGCCCUUCUGGGUGUCCCAUGGGGAGUUUCUAUUCCCAGGGGAGGGGAAGCGUGGCCCCCGCCCAACCAUCCUAACAGGCAGCGGAUCCAGCCUCGCGCCGCCCCUGGCCGUUGGGAAGCUGAAGAGGAGGUUAGCGGGCCCUGCCUGCUGCUCGGUCAGGUGCAGACCUUUCCGGAGCGCCCCAGUUGGCACGUCUAAUUUGGGCGCAGGCAGGCUGCCCCAAGCUUGAGUGCCGGCCCUUUCAAAAAGCACCCACAGCGGGCAACUUUCCCUUCCCUCCAGUUUCACAAACCCGAAAUUCCAAGCAGAAGUCACGCUUUCUCAGGAUAACCAGAGGAAAAUACUGCCCCCCACCCCCUUCUUUCCGUUCUUUAUUAAUUUCAUGCAUCAUUCAUGCCUGGAAAGUUCUGAAGGCGAAUGGCGGUGGAGAGGAAGCAGCGAACCCCCACCCCUCGUCCCUCCCGGAAAGGCAGCAGGAACCUUAAGGCCCUCCAGUGGGACAGAAGAGAGGACGG